ACAGCAGCCGCCACGGUAAUACCGAGGGUGCGAGCGUUAAUCGGAUUUACUGGGCGUAAAGCGUGCGCAGGCGGUUAUAUAAGACAGAUGUGAAAUCCCCGGGCUCAACCUGGGAACUGCAUUUGUGACUGUAUAGCUAGAGUACGGCAGAGGGGGAUGGAAUUCCGCGUGUAGCAGUGAAAUGCGUAGAUAUGCGGAGGAACACCGAUGGCGAAGGCAAUCCCCUGGGCCUGUACUGACGCUCAUGCACGAAAGCGUGGGGAGCAAACAGGAUUAGAUACCCCAGUAGUCCCUGUCUCUUAUAC
rnacentral:rRNA from 1 species